UAGUAGGCGGGGUAACGGCCCACCUAGUCUUCGAUGGAUAGGGGUUCUGAGAGGAAGGUCCCCCACAUUGGAACUGAGACACGGUCCAAACUCCUACGGGAGGCAGCAGUGAGGAAUAUUGGUCAAUGGGCGAGAGCCUGAACCAGCCAAGUAGCGUGAAGGAUGACUGCCCUAUGGGUUGUAAACUUCUUUUAUAAAGGAAUAAAGUCGGGUAUGGAUACCCGUUUGCAUGUACUUUAUGAAUAAGGAUCGGCUAACUCCGUGCCAGCAGCCGCGGUAAUACGGAGGAUCCGAGCGUUAUCCGGAUUUAUUGGGUUUAAAGGGAGCGUAGAUGGAUGUUUAAGUCAGUUGUGAAAGUUUGCGGCUCAACCGUAAAAUUGCAGUUGAUACUGGAUAUCUUGAGUGCAGUUGAGGCAGGCGGAAUUCGUGGUGUAGCGGUGAAAUGCUUAGAUAUCACGAAGAACUCCGAUUGCGAAGGCAGCCUGCUAAGCUGCAACUGACAUUGAGGCUCGAAAGUGUGGGUAUCAAACAGGAUUAGAUACCCUGGUAGUCCACACGGUAAACGAUGAAUACUCGCUGUUUGCGAUAUAC
rnacentral:rRNA from 1 species